UCUGUAUUUGUACGAGAUUUUUAUUUUAUUUAUCUAUUAAUCAUUUGAGCCUAUCGUAUGUUAAAUAAAAGUCUUAGAAUCAAACUUCUCUACAACAAGAUGGCAGCCAGACCAUUUGAUUUUGUCACCAUAUCAAGAGAGGUUGAACAUUGGCUGCGAACAUACCCAAUAACAGUUUCACAAUGUGAAGAAGUGAUGCAGCUUACCCGAGAUUGGAAUGAAAAUACAGAAAGUGAUGAGUCAUCAUCUGCGUCGGAUGAAGGAAGAGAUUCUCCUGGAGAAACCGCGAACGAAUUAGUAGAGGGAAAGGAUAUACUAAUUAAGCAGGUCAAUGGAGGCCUUCGACUUCUUCAAACCAAGUCACAAGGCUAUCAGGCGACCGGCUUAAAGUGUCUGUAUCAAUACAUCGGAAUGGAUCCUAAACAAUUAAAAACUCGAAGAAUUUAAUGAAUUAAAGAUGAAGAAAGGAA